rnacentral:lncRNA from 1 species
AUGACAUAUUUUGUUUUUUUGAGUUGCUCUGUGUAGUGUGUAAUGACAUAUUUUAUGGGUUUUUUUUAGUUUCUCUGUGUAGUGUGUAAUGACAUAUUUUAUGUUUUAUUGUGUUGCUUUGUGUAGUGUGUAAUGACAUAUUUUAUGUUUUUUUGAGCUGCUCUGUGUAGUGUGUAAUGACAUAAUUUGUUUUUUUGAGCUGCUCUGUGUAGUGUGUAAUGACAUAGUUUAUAUUUUUUUGAGUUGCUCUGUGUAGUGUGUAAUGACAUAUUUUAUGUUUUUUGAGUUGCUCUGUGUAGUGUGUAAUGACAUAUUUUAUGUUUUUUUAGUUGCUCUGUGUAGUGUGUAAUGACAUAUUUUAUGUUUUUUUAGUUGCUCUGUGUAGUGUGUAAUGACAUAUUUAUGUUUUUUUUAGUUGCUCUGUGUAGUGUGUAAUGACAUAUUUUAUGUUUUUUUUGAGUUGCUCUGUGUAGUGUGUAAUGACAUAUUUUAUGUUUUUUUGUAUUGCUUUGUGUAGUGUGUAAUGACAUAUUUUAUGUUUUUUUGUGUUGCUUUGUGUAAUGUGUAAUGACAUAUUUUAUGUUUUUUUAGCUGCUCUGUGUAGUGUGUAAUGACACAUUUUAUGUUUUUUCAGUUGCUCUGUGUAGUGUGUAAUGACAUAUUUUGUUUUUUUGAGUUGCUCUGUGUAGUGUGUAAUGACAUAUUUUAUGUUUUUUUUAGCUGCUCUGUGUAGUGUGUAAUUACAUAUUUUAUGUUUUUUUGUGUUGCUCUGUGUAGUGUGUAAUGACAUCUUUUAUGUUUUUUUGAGCUGCUCUGUGUAGCGUGUAAUGACAUAUUUUAUGGUUUUUUGAGCUGCUCUGUGUAGUGCGUAAUGACAUAUUUUAUGUUUUUUUAGCUGCUCUGUGUAGUGUGUAAUGACAUAAUUUAUGUUUUUUUGAGCUGCUCUGUGUAGUGUGUAAUGACAUAUUUUAAGUUUUUUUUAGUUGCUCUGUGUAGUGUGUAAUGACAUAUUUUAUGGGUUUUUUUCAGCUGCUCUGUGUAGUGUGUAAUGACAUAUUUUAUGUUUUUUUUAGUUGCUCUGUGUAGUGUGUAAUGACAUAUUUUAUGUUUUUUUUAGUUGCUCUGUGUAGUGUGUAAUGACAUAUUUUAUGUUUUUUUCAGUUGCUCUGUGUAGUGUGUGUAUUGACAUAUUUUAUGUUUUUUUUAGCUGCUCUGUGUAGUGUGUAAUGACAUAUUUUAUGUUUUUUUUUAAGUUGCUCUGUGUAGUGUGUAAUGACAUAUUUUAUGUUUUUUUGAGUUGCUCUGUGUAGUGUGUAAUGACAUAUUUUAUGUUUUUUUAGUUGCUCUGUGUAGUGUGUAAUGACAUAUUUUAUGUUUUUUAGUUGCUCUGUGUAGUGUGUAAUGACCUAUUUUAUGUUUUUUUUAGUUGCUCUGUGUAGUGUGUAAUGUAAUGACAUAUUUUAUGUUUUUUUUAGUUGCUCUGUGUAGUGUGUAAUGACAUAUUUUAUGUUUUUUUGAGUUGCUCUGUGUAGUGUGUAAUGACAUAUUUUAUGUUUUUUGAGUUGCUCUGUGUAGUGUGUAAUGACAUUUUAUGUUUUUUUGAGUUGCUCUGUGUAGUGUGUAAUGACAUAUUUUAUGUUUUUUUUAGUUGCUUUGUGUAGUGUGUAAUGACAUUUUAUGUUUUUUUGAGUUGCUCUGUGUAGUGUGUAAUGACAUAUUUUAUGUUUUUUUUAGCUGCUCUGUGUAGUGUGUAAUGACAUAUUUUAUGUUUUUUUAGCUGCUCUGUGUAGUGUGUAAUGACAUAUUUUA